rnacentral:lncRNA from 1 species
UGCUAGGAUAUUGAGCUGACCUUCACCUCAUCCUUAGUAAUGUUCUCCAGUUUUCAUUAUGACCAAACAAUUGCUUAACAUUUUAAAGACUGUAAUGGAAGGGCAUCUCUGGUCCUUGGCAACCUCUCUGUUUAACCCAGCCCUGUGAACCAAUGACUGUGGAAAUGGGACCAAUUAAUGGUCAUCAAGCAUUAGAACUCUGAGACUGCUUACACACACACACACACACAUACACACACACACACACACACCACACAAAUAUAAAGUGAAACAAAAUUCCAAGUAAUAUAGUUGCCUGGAUCAGAGCAUUGCUUGGUUUUCUUAAAGCAGUGCCUGGGUGGGAGGCAUCAUGCUGUCCAUAAUGGAGCAGUUUAAAGGUCAUCCUUCGUUAUAGAGAGAAUGGAAGCCAAGCAUGAAGUCAUGAGACCUGAACACAGAGCCUGAGUUUAGUGAUUCUAGGAACUAGGAAAUCAACAACCACAUGAAUGGAAAGAGGGUUCAAAUUUGUACCUCCAGGGGGUACAUUAAAAGAGAGAAAUCCACAGAUAAGAGUUGCAUUUGAAAGAUAGAGAUGGGGAGUUCAGAUUGAAGUACUGUGGGAAGAUGUACUCAAGAACCAUCUGGUACUGAAGCAAAGGAAGCCUGGGCACAAAGUAAUCUUUUAAUAAAUGCUUACGUAUUGAUUGGCUGGUUGGAUGAUCUGAGGUGCUCCAGAUCUUCAUCAACAGUUUCUCAUUGGACAUUCCCAAUUGGACAUAACGAAAGACAUCUCAAACCCAAAUGUUUAAAGCAGACCCCCCCCCCCCCACCGCUCUAACCAAUCCCCUUUCUCUUGAAGAGUUUCCUCUUCAUUCCUAUUAAUUUCCUAUUAAUGUUAUAGGUACCAUCAUCUUCCUAGUCAUCCAGGUUCACAAUCUCAACCCUUUACUUUGAAUAUUCAGUCAGCUGCCAUGUAUCUCAACAUGUCUCCCAGUCUCUACUCACACAGCCACUGCAAAAGCCUCCUAUUUGACCCCCCCCCAUGUCAAGUUUCUCCCUGCACCAAUCCAUUUUCUUCAUAAGCCCUCAGUUUAACUGUGUCACAUUUCUAAAACCCUCCCAAUAACUUCUAGAGGCUCCCUAUUACUUCUAGGGAAAAGUAUAAAUUUCUGAGU